UUCUUCCUUUAAAUGAGAAACUGCUUUUCUGAAAUGAUACAACGAUGUGAGGAUUGAACAAAUAGUUUUGACACUUGCAAUUCCGAGCUCAAAAAUGUACCAGGGCGACUGAGAAUAAACUGCGCAUUAAAUUCAAGGCAGCGUCAUUGAUUCAGAUUCUAGAGUUUUUAGAAAGAGAAUAUUCAUUCCUAUUCUGGCCUCACUCGAGUUUCAAAGCAGCAUCCGGUCUCAACCAGGCCUUUCCACACUGAACCAAAGCAUGCAGUCCCUCUAAAUAGAUUUUUUUUUUCUGCUUUCGGCACAAUGACCUCACAGUUCCUGUUGCCGUGGUUGCAGCAGGACAGAUCGGACCUCCCUCUUUGUCAAGUGCUAUGAAGUUGUGCAGACGCUGGAGGGAGUCCUAACGUAAAUGUUGACAGGAAUACUGCGGUGACUCGGAACGUCUGAACCGAGUGAGUCUCCUCCAAGUGCGUCUGCCUCGGCCUCAACCCGACCGCGGGCGCGUCUCGUGUGUGUGGACUGUCGGACUGCAGCAUCUACUGCCGAGUGGGAGGAAAACAGCAAGCGACGGCGUUAUGUUUUCAUCCACCGGCGCUUCCAAGCUCACGUCAGAAGCCUGAGCCACACCGCCCCCUAUCGUCUCAAGAAAAUACGGCACAAACAAUCAUGGACUCCCAGGAGCUUGCUGGUUCCUCACCAACCAAGGCUCACAGAAACACGAGACCGGCGUUCAAGAAAUGCCUCGAGCGUCCUAGAGCGGGGAAACGACGUCCACACCUUUUCGCAGCUGCGUGCAACGGCAUCUCCGACGCGCAGCCCCAACGAAGGGAGCGCUUGGCCGUAUUGGUUAACUUAGCACACAUCCCCUACUGACCAUAGGAAUAAACUGUACA